UGAUCUCCUGACCUCGUGAUCCGCCUGCCUUGGCUUCCCAAAGUGAUGGGAUUACAGGCGUGAGCCACUGCGCCCAGCCAGUGGGAAGCAUUUCUAGGAAGAUUCUUUGUGUACUUCAUCCUCCAACAGUAGACAGAAUGGUUUGUGUUUGCCCAGGGUGCCCAGGUUCUGAGGUGUUUUGCAUUUGGAAAGGGAAAAUUAGUCACUGAGACGUAACAGGAAUAAGGUUUGAGAAGUUCUGCUUUCUAACUUUUUCCAGUAAUGACAUUUUCUAAAAAGAUACUACACUUUACUAGUCCUGCAUAAAGUGCCUUUCACAUAUUUUUUCUCCAAUGGAAAUGGAAUACAGUCCUCCAUUCACCCUCAGGGUGGCGAAGCUGGCAUAGAGUGAGGGCAAGUGUUAAGUGCACUUUGCCAAGCCUUGCAGGGUUUUGUGGGCCAUGAUAAGGAUUCUUUAGCCUAAAUGGGAUGGGUAAUCAUUGAAAGUGAUUUAAGUACUCGGAGGGACACGAUUGGGAUGCAGUACAGAGUGAACUGCAGGAGGGGCAGGAGGGAAUCCCAGAUAGGAGCCUGGGAUUUGCAGGAGAGCAGGCUGGAGUGCAUGGUGAUGGGAGGGAGCGGUACUAGUAUGGAGGGAGUAGAAAUACUUGGGAGAUAAAAUUCAUGGAACUCGAUGUUAGAACCAGCACUAGGGCAAGAUAAACCCUAUUUUAAAUUUUUCUAGAGACCACUUGCAAAGCUUGUUAAAAGCUCACAGUACUGCUUGCUACUAACUUUUCUUUCUUCAGGCACAUUUCUCUGCAUAUAGAAAGAUUUAAGUGUCGGUAGGCAGGGACAACUGACUGGGAAAUGAACUUGUAGCACUGACCCAGGGCAGACUUGAGUAUGUGGCAGGAUUAUUUUUAGGCUGAAAGACUUGUAGGCAUUUUAACAAAACAUCCUCACUAGACAGUUUUAAUGUUACAUAAACUAAGACUUAUCUCUAGAUGUUCCACGGUUACAUGCAGUUUUACAUUCUUGGAAUCCUACAGGAUGCAGAGCUGGAAGAAACCUCAGGAAUGCUUUCGAUUUUGCAGAUGAGGACAGAAGCCCAGGACUUGCCAAAGGAACCUCAUGGGAGAGUCUGGAUUAGUUCAGAGACCUCACCUUUCCAUUUAACUUCUGAGUCUUGGUUUUCUUAUCUGUAAAUAGGGUUAUUAAAGUUAUACCUUCUUUGUAGGAUGGUUGCAAGGAUUCAGUUUCACUCAUGUGAUGCUGUCAGUACAGUGCUAGGCUUACUCCAUAAAUGCUUGAGUUAGUGAUUAUUGUUGGCUGCAGGCGUAAGAAUCUACUACUUUUGAAAUACCAAGAGGACCCAGACACAAACCACAAACACAGGGCUGUGAUGUGAGGUAAGCCCAGUAAGAAAGCAGUUACACAGGGACUUUUUUAAAAAAGAGAUGGUCUCACUCUCUUGCCCAGGCUGGCGUGCAGUGGCACAGUCACAGUUCUCUGCAUCCUUGGUGUCUUGGGCUCAAGGGAUACUCACACUGGGAGACUUGUACACCCCAAUUUUAAUCCUGGCUCCAGCAUCAGCUGUGUUGUAUGACUUGGUGAAAAUUUUCACACAGAAAUACAUCUUCCACCAUUAUACAUUUCUUCUGGAAGGAACUAUACAGGCAUGUGGCUAAGCAGACAACCACAUCGCUGUUGGGAAAGGACUGGAGAGCUCACAGUAGGAGAGAGGGAUGAGGGCAGACACGGGCUCUGGCCUGGAGCCAGGAUUAUCUGGAGGCAGCUCAGCAUGACUGGCUUGUGCUGCCUGGCUUCUCCCAGGGCCCCAUCAUGCCAUAGGAGUUAAGGGUCAAAGCAUAGUUAGAAAAAAAGCACAAGCCUUUUCCUGUUAAGGCUGAGAAGGAAGCUGGACGUGAACACUCUGCUUUACUCUUAACCUUAAUCAUGUAAGUUAUCUGACAGGAGGAGGUCAGUGACACCAGGAGUUUUACCUUGUUAACAAACCAAAAUGCAGAUACCUCUGCCAGAUCAGAGGUAGGCAGAAGACCAAUUCCAACUUCAAAAUGAACAUGCAUGGUGUCCCAGUCUUCUAGAUCUUUAUACUUUCGUCUUCCUAAGUGUCAGGGAAGAAAACCAGAGGCACUAAAACUGCCAGGUUGCUGGAGGGAGGGAGUGCUGGGAACCUUGGGCGAAGCCAUAGACACAAAUCCCAGCGGCAGCCUGUGCAGUGCUCAGGAAGCCAUGCAUGGUGGGGCUGCUUCCUGCCCAACUAUGGCAUCUACAUGAGAUGCUCACUUAUUUAAGCUCAACUGGAACUAAGUGGGUGACCCCUUGAUUGUGCUACUACCCAUUAUGUACCCACCCAUACCCACCACUCCAAGGCUGAACAGAAAGGGUUGUCUGACACCCAGGUUUUAUUGUUUCCACUUUAUUGCUCAAGCAUGGAACUUGAGGCAAGCCUGGACCUUCAGCAACGUGCAGAGAAGAGGCUGAGGGGAUUUUGGGACACAACCUGGCCGAGAGGGGAAACUGACAGGGGAAAUACCAGAACAGGGAACAGGGGGUGGUCACCAUGACACCAGAAGACAUCAUCAGCCACACCGUCGGGGGUGAGGAAGGGAA
rnacentral:lncRNA from 1 species